AUUGAACGCUGGCGGCAUGCCUUACACAUGCAAGUCGAACGGUAACAGGUCUUCGGAUGCUGACGAGUGGCGAACGGGUGAGUAAUACAUCGGAACACGCCCGAUCGUGGGGGAUAACGAAGCGAAAGCUUUGCUAAUACCGCAUAAGAUCUACGGAUGAAAGCAGGGGACCGCAAGGCCUUGCGCGAACGGAGCGGCCGAUGGCAGAUUAGGUAGUUGGUGGGAUAAAAGCUUACCAAGCCGACGAUCUGUAGCUGGUCUGAGAGGACGACCAGCCACACUGGGACUGAGACACGGCCCAGACUCCUACGGGAGGCAGCAGUGGGGAAUUUUGGACAAUGGGCGAAAGCCUGAUCCAGCCAUGCCGCGUGCAGGAUGAAGGCCUUCGGGUUGUAAACUGCUUUUGUACGGAACGAAAAGACUCUGGUUAAUACCUGGGGUCCAUGACGGUACCGUAAGAAUAAGCACCGGCUAACUACGUGCCAGCAGCCGCCGUAA
rnacentral:rRNA from 1 species